UACGUAGGGGGCAAGCGUUGUCCGGAUUUAUUGGGCGUAAAGAGCGUGUAGGCGGCCAGACAGGUCCGUUGUGAAAACUCGAGGCUCAACCUCGAGACGUCGACGGAAACCGUCUGGCUAGAGUCCGGAAGAGGAGUGUGGAAUUCCUGGUGUAGCGGUGAAAUGCGCAGAUAUCAGGAAGAACACCUAUGGCGAAGGCAGCACUCUGGGUCGGUACUGACGCUGAGACGCGAAAGCGUGGGGAGCGAACAGG
rnacentral:rRNA from 1 species